GACGAACGCUGGCGGCGUGCUUAACACAUGCAAGUCGUACGGUAAGGCCCUUUCGGGGGUACACGAGUGGCGAACGGGUGAGUAACACGCGAGUAACCUGCCCACAACUUUGUGAUAACGCUAGGAAACUGGUGCUAAUACUGGCUAUGUGCUCCUGCUGCAUGGUGGGGGUUGGAAAGCUCCGGGGGUUGUGGAUGGACUCGCGGCCUAUCAGCUUGUUGGUGGGGUAGUGGCCUACCAAGGCGGCGACGGGCAGCCGGCCUGCGGGGGUGACCGGCCACAUUGGGGCUGGGAUACGGCCCAGACUCCUACGGGGGGGAGCAGGGGGGAAUAAUGGACAAUGGGGGCGAGGCUGAUGCAGCAACGCCGCGUGCGGGAUGACGGCCUUCGGGUUGUAAAACGCUUUCAGCAGGGAAGAAGGUUUGUGUGACGGUACCGGCAGAAGAAGCACCGGCUAACUACGUG
rnacentral:rRNA from 1 species